rnacentral:pre_miRNA from 1 species
AGGCAGUGUUGUUAGCUGGCUGCGUUGGGUCAGGCCAGCAGCCACAGCUACCCUGCCAC